rnacentral:rRNA from 1 species
GACGAACGCUGGCGGCGUGCCUAAUACAUGCAAGUAGAACGCUGAAGGAGGAGCUUGCUUCUCUGGAUGAGUUGCGAACGGGUGAGUAACGCGUAGGUAACCUGCCUGGUAGCGGGGGAUAACUAUUGGAAACGAUAGCUAAUACCGCAUAAUAGCAGUUGUUGCAUGACAACUGUUUGAAAGGUGCAAUUGCACCACUACCAGAGGGACCUGCGUUGUAUUAGCUAGUUGGUGGGGUAACGGCUCACCAAGGCGACGAUACAUAGCCGACCUGAGAGGGUGAUCGGCCACACUGGGACUGAGACACGGCCCAGACUCCUACGGGAGGCAGCAGUAGGGAAUCUUCGGCAAUGGACGGAAGUCUGACCGAGCAACGCCGCGUGAGUGAAGAAGGUUUUCGGAUCGUAAAGCUCUGUUGUAAGAGAAGAACGAGUGUGAGAGUGGAAAGUUCACACUGUGACGGUAUCUUACCAGAAAGGGACGGCUAACUACGUG